rnacentral:tRNA from 4 species
UGGUAUAUAGUUUAUUUAAAACAAAUGAUUUCGACUCAUUAGAUUAUGAAAACUCAUAUUUACCAAUA